rnacentral:rRNA from 1 species
UAGCAUAGUAAUUUGUUGUUUAAUUGAUAACUGGGAUGAAAGGUUGAACAGUUAUUUAUUGUCUUGUUUAUGUAGAAAAUUAAGUUGUAUUUUAAGUAAAAAUACUUAAGUAUAAAUAAGGGACGAUAAGACCCUAAAAGUUUUAUUUAAGUAGUUAGGUGGUUUUGUUUGGUUAAUUUAUUGGUUUAACUGGGGUAGUUUCUUUAAAAUAGAUUAAAGGUUUAAUGAAGCAGAUCUUUAUUUGGUUUAGGUCCUUAAAAUUAGGAUAAGUAGAGUUAGUUACUUUAGGGAUAACAGCAUAAUAUUUUUGGAUAGAUCUUAUAAAUAAGAGUGAUUAUGACCUCGAUGUUGAAUUAAAAGUUCUAUUUAAUGCAGGAGUUAAAUGAGAAGGUUUGUUCAACCUGUGAUUUUUUACGUGAUUU